rnacentral:misc_RNA from 1 species
GUUCUUUCACAUUCUCAUCUGCUUUAAAUUUGAUCUCUAGAGUCAUCGCAAAAUUUUCUUUCAUGAUGUAUUUCCUGAUCCAAAUUUUUGGAUGCAUUAGCAGAAGUAAAAGAAGCUGGACAAACAACUGCAGUAAUCUCCUCUGGAGGUUCAUGUCCAGCAUCAACAUCCUUAGGUAGCGCCUAACGAGCAUCUGGAAGUAGACGACCCAACCGACGGACAGAAACAUGGCUGAGAGUUUCAAAAUUCUCGGUAAUUCCAUACCCAUCUGCCUCUAGCUUUUCCAAUAUCACCUCAAUACUCUCUUUACCCUGCACCACCGGAAAAUAAACACACCUCAGGUGAGCAUGUGCUUUGGAGGAGGAUUUUGUUCCUGAACAAACUUUCAAUCACUGCUAUCCUUUACGUGAAAGCUAAGUUGCAUUACAAACUCUGGACCAUUGCAGGACAGUAACCUCUCCACCUUCAAUUUCCGCUAAAUUAGUGUCAUUGACCUGAAAUUCAAUAGGCAUCACAGUUUUUCCUGUUUUUGAUACUUCAUCACACUUUAAGUAUGGAGAUUUGAUUUUCCUCCUAUGCCUCUGUCUCUCGAUGAUCUAUGAAUGGAAGCUCCCAUUUUUCCCUCUUAAGAUAUAUUUAUCGGAUUUGCAGCCAAUACA